UAAUAUUGAAACGUGGCUGACAGAGACGCUGCGAAAAAAGUUUCUUUUCUUUUUUUUUUUUUUUUUUUUUUUUCCUCCUUUUUGGAACAGGGGCACAAAGCGGUGUCCUGCAGCGGGAGGAUUUAUCAGUUGUACUUGUAGGCUUAAAACCUGCGUAUAUUGCUAUUUUCUUGAUUCUUUUACUCCCCAUCCCGGAGCUCUCAGGGAAGAGGCAAAGCUUUCUAUACAUUAAUGACAUGCAGGCAUUACGACGAGCUGCCCCACUACGGCGGCAUGGAGGGGGUGGGCAUCCCCACCACCAUGUACGGGGACCCCCACGGCGCCCGCCCCAUGCAGCCCGUGCACCACCUCAACCACGGGCCGCCGCUCCACUCGCACCAGUACCCGCACGCCGCCCACGCCAACGCCAUGCCCCCCGCCAUGGGCGCCUCCGUCAACGACGCCCUCAAGAGAGAUAAAGAUGCCAUCUACGGACACCCCCUGUUCCCUCUUUUAGCACUGAUUUUUGAGAAAUGUGAAUUAGCUACAUGCACACCCAGGGAGCCCGGGGUAGCGGGAGGCGAUGUUUGCUCCUCUGAGUCUUUCAAUGAAGACAUAGCAGUGUUCGCCAAACAGAUCCGAGCAGAGAAACCCCUCUUUUCCUCUAAUCCUGAACUGGAUAACUUGAUGAUUCAAGCCAUACAAGUAUUAAGGUUUCAUCUGUUGGAAUUAGAGAAGGUACACGAAUUAUGUGACAAUUUCUGCCACCGGUAUAUUAGCUGUUUGAAAGGAAAAAUGCCUAUCGAUUUGGUCAUAGACGAUAGAGAGGGCGGAUCAAAAUCGGACAGUGAAGACAUAACAAGAUCAGCAAACCUAACGGAUCAGCCCUCCUGGAACAGAGACCACGAUGACACGGCAUCAACGCGCUCUGGGGGAACACCCGGACCCUCCAGCGGAGGACACACAUCGCACAGCGGGGACAACAGCAGUGAGCAAGGUGACGGCUUGGACAACAGUGUAGCUUCCCCCAGCACAGGUGAUGAUGAUGAUCCAGAUAAGGACAAAAAGCGACAUAAAAAGCGUGGCAUCUUUCCCAAAGUAGCCACAAAUAUCAUGAGGGCAUGGCUGUUCCAGCAUCUAACACACCCUUACCCUUCAGAAGAACAGAAAAAGCAGUUGGCACAAGACACAGGGCUCACUAUACUUCAAGUGAACAAUUGGUUUAUUAAUGCUAGAAGAAGAAUAGUUCAGCCCAUGAUAGACCAGUCCAAUCGAGCAGGCAAGUCCCCAAUAGUAACUGUAUUCGAGUCACGCAGGCGAAAACCAUCCUCAAGCCAUUCACCGGGAGGUCCAUUACCUGGUAAAUAAAUGAGAAAUGAAUGCUGGGAGUGAUUGACAAUUAAAAUACAACCAGCUUUCUUUCAUUACAACUCUGAUCAUUUUUAACAUGAUUAAAAACAUUUGGGGGAAAAAAAAGGACAUUGAAAAUUCAAAAAGAAAAACUGAAAUGAUCCGCUCCAUGGCCGGACUUUCUGUACACGAUCCCAAUCAUUCUUAUUUUUUUUUUAGCAGUUGUUUGGAGUUUUCCUUCCCAGCUCUUUCUGCUCCUGUGACCACUCCCUGGUGCAUGGCUUGGUGUGGAAUUGCUGUAAACUUUAUUACCUGUCAAAAGGGCAAAGGGGUCAGAAUCGCUUGUGGGACUCAGUAAAGUUCAAAGACAUUCAAUGAGGUAGAGCUUUAUGUGCUUUAAUAACCCAAGGCAGCUUACUUCUGAAGCCGGCUUUUAAUGUACAGUCAAAACCUCCAGUUCAGGUAGUGGUACUUGUACAGGGUUCUUUUGUCCCUUGGCUCUUCUUUUUAGUAGCUGUCUUUUGGGAUUGCUGAGCAUUUGCUGUUUACUUUGGGAGGAUUUAUUUCUGGUUUUUUAAAAGACCUUAAGUUUUCACAUGCUGGUUCUAUCUGGGGUCUUGGCUCGCAGUUCUGCGUGGGUAUUUACCAUCAAGGAUUACCAGAGCCUGUUAGUCCUAGUUGGUUUUGUUUUCCAAGUCUUGCUGUCAAACUCUUCAAAUACAUCAUUGCCCAAGAUGCCUUAGGGCCACACUUCCUCUUCAAGUACAUUUGAUUGUUUGUCAUUAGAGGUAAAUAUCUGGCACGGACGUGUUCAGGUCCUGCUCUUAGAAGGCACAGGGGCGUAAUUUAACACACUGUGAUUUCAGUGUGACUAUUCCAGCCAUAAAAUCCGGCUCCUAUACAGGUUUUUGCAUUGACGUCAGCAGCGGCAGCAGCUGGAGCUGGCGCUCCUCAUGUCUCAAGAUUUCAGUUUGCAAACUUCAGUUUCCAAACUUGCAGAAGGAGAUUAAGCCAAAACUUAAGCGUGCUUGUUAGUCCGGCGCUAAAUUCGCACAGCAGAUACUUUUCCCUCUUUUUAGAGCCGACAUCGAUAGCCCGUGGGUGGCGGUGGGGCAGGGGGGGUUGUGUCUCGAUGCCGUGAGAAGAGGUGACCCUCUUGGCUGCUGCUAAAAAAGCAACGUUCUGCACUUUUCCAGUAAGUCAAGGAACACCCUAUAACCCCGACGGGCAGCCGAUGGGAGGUUUCGUGAUGGACGGCCAGCAGCACAUGGGCAUCCGAGCGCCAGGACCUAUGAGUGGAAUGGGCAUGAAUAUGGGCAUGGAGGGGCAGUGGCACUACAUGUAACCUUCACCUAGGUAACCAAUGGCAAAGCCAGGGGGAAGGCUGCAAAGUAUGCCAGGGGAUUAUGUGUCUCGGGGUAGUCCAAUGGGUAUGAAUAUGGGACAGCCAAGCUAUACCCCGCCCCAGAUGCCCCCCCAUCCUGCUCAGCUGCGUCAUGGCCCCCCCAUGCAUACCUACAUUCCUGGACACCCUCACCACCCAGCGAUGAUGAUGCAUGGAGGACCACCCCACCCUGGAAUGCCCAUGUCAGCAUCAAGCCCCACAAUGCUUCAUACCGGCGAGCCAGCAGUGAGCGGACAAGUGAUGGACAUUCAUGCUCAGUAGCUUAAGGGAAAACACACGUUGUCUGCAGCGAUGGUAGAUUUCAAACAUUGUCUUUCUGCAAUGACUAUGGAGUUCUUGGCGUCAACUUUGGACCAAGGGACGUUCCAGUUCUUCACAGGGACCCUGAAAAGCAGGAAAACACCAACCGAAGUCAACUUCUGGGGACAUGCUAAAUACCUAUAUAAGACAUUAAGAGAACAAAGAGUGAAAUAUUGUAAAAUGCUAUUAUACUGUUAUCCAUAUUACGUUGUUUCUUAUAGAUUUUUUAAAAAAAAUGUGAAAUUUUUCCACACUAUGUGUGUUGUUUCCAUAGCUCUUCACUUCCUCCAGAAGCCUCCUUACAUUAAAAAAGAAGCCUUACACUUAUCCUGCAAAUGACAGAAAGGGCUUAUUUGCAGGAUUUUUAGAGCAUUAAAAUAACUAUGUCAGGCAGAAGAAUCUUUCUUCUAUCCUAGGAUUUCAGCCAUGCACACUCUCUCUCUCUCUCUCUCUCCCCCCUCUCUCCUCCUCUAUCUCGGUCUGUCUUUCUUCCCUUUCUCUCCCUUUCUCCCCAUCUCUCUCCCUCUCUCUCUUUCUAGCCUGGGGCGUGAAUUUGCAUGUCUAAUUCAUUUACUCACCAUAUUUGAAUUGGCCUGAACAGAUGUAAAUCGGGAAGGAUGGGAAAAACUGCAGUCAUCAACAAUGAUUAAUCAGCUGUUGCAGGCAGUGUCUUAAGGAGACUGGUAGGAGGAAGCAUGGAAACGGAAAGGCAGUGUAUUUGAAGCCUAAUUGUCACAUCAGAGCAUCCUUGUCCCCAUGCAGCAACCACCACCUUGUACAUCACUUCCUGUUUUAUGCAGCUCGAAACAUGGACUGAAGAUUUAUUUUUAAUAUGUUGACUUUCUUUCUGGGCAAGACAUCGGUCAUGUGUGCAUUUUUUUUUUUCCAUAGUCCCAUCAUGGAGCAUUUAUGUAUACAUUGUAAAUAAAUUUUGUGCAAAAAGGACUGGAAAAAUGAUCUGUAUUAUUGCAAUUUUUUGUAAAAGUAGCAGUUUGGUAUGAGUUGGCAUGCAUACAGAUUUACUAAGUGGGAUAAGCUAAUUAUACUUUUGUUGUGGUUAAACAAAUGCUUGUUGAUAGCCUUUUCUAUCAAGAAACCAAGGAGCUAAUUAUUAUUAAUAAUAAUCAUUGCACACUGAGUCUUAGAGUUUCUGAUUGAAACAGUUUGGAUUGUAUAAUAACUCAAAGCCCAGUUGUAGUAGUUUGAGUGCAGUAAUGAAAUCUGAAUCUAAAAUAAAAACAAAUUAUUUUUUGUCAUGGUGA